rnacentral:rRNA from 1 species
GACGAACGCUGGCGGCGUGCUUAACACAUGCAAGUCGAACGGAAAGGCCCUGCUUUUGUGGGGUGCUCGAGUGGCGAACGGGUGAGUAACACGUGAGUAACCUGCCCUUGUCUUUGGGAUAACUUCAGGAAACUGGGGCUAAUACCGGAUAGGAGCUCCUGCUGCAUGGUGGGGGUUGGAAAGUUUCGGCGGUUGGGGAUGGACUCGCGGCUUAUCAGCUUGUUGGUGGGGUAGUGGCAUACCAAGGCUUUGACGGGUAGCCGGCCUGGGAGGGGGACCGGGGACAUGGGUACUGAGGGACGGAGCAGAAUGGUACGGGAGGCAGUAGGGGGGAGUAUGACACAGUGGGCGGAAGCGAGAGGCAGCAACGCCGGGUGCGGGAUGACGGGCUUCGGGGUGUAAACAGCUUUGGCCUGUGACGAAGCGUGAGUGACGGUAAUGGGUAAAGAAGCACCGGCUAACUACGUG